UUGCCUGCAGAGAGCUUCCCCCUGCUUUUCUCUCAGCUACAAAAUCUGUUUACAUUACUGGCCUCCAACUGCCUSCUACUGACAUCGCUGUAAAGGCAGUGUGUCCUGCUGUGAAGAAGCCAAGCUGAAGGRAAAAGUUUGCUCCUGGAUCUCACCAGCUAUUGCUACAGUGCUCUCAACACCGUGGGGCUUCCCAGCAAAGGUUGAACAAUCCAGCACAGUACAUCACUGCCUUCACAGGCCAGGUUUGGAGCGCCCAGUCAGUGCUUGGCCACGAUGGACAUGUUCAUGUUUUUGAWGUUUGCUCUUUGAAAACCAGCUUGUGCUUUUCUUCAGCUGCCAGAAGCAAGCCUACAGCCAUAACACGAAUGUAAACAAACACAGGGUGCUGCAGAAGAGCAGAGCAGAGCCUCGGUGCUGAGCAGGGGCUGGUGCCGCUGUCUCCUGAGCAGCCCCUUCCCAGGGUACAAACCACUGCCUGCAGCCAGCGCCAGGUCCCCAACGCGGGGCUGCCAGGGGCACACCCACCCACCCACCUAUGACUGACUGCAAGGCUUGCAACCCACUUUCAAGAGUGCAAAAAAAAACCCCAAACCAUGCUCAAUUUAAUUCUUCAUUCAGCUCUGAUAAUUGGUUACAGCAAAUAAAAGUUGGGUGCUGAAUUAAAUUUUGCCCUCUCAAGUUCUGUACUGUAAAAUGUGUCAAAAGAAAUGUUACGAUUUACUGCACAGUUUGAAGUGAUUCUGCCUG